rnacentral:rRNA from 1 species
AUUGAACGCUGGCGGCAUGCUUUACACAUGCAAGUCGAGCGGCAGCGCGGGGGCAACCCUGGCGGCGAGCGGCGAACGGGUGAGUAACGCAUCGGAACGUAUCCUGUAGUGGGGAAUAACUCAUCGAAAGGUGAGCUAAUACCGCAUAAGCUCUGAGGAGGAAAGCGGGGGGACCGAAAGGGCCUCGCGCUGCAGGAGCGGCCGAUGUCCGAUUAGCUAGUUGGUGAGGUAAAGGCUCACCAAGGCGACGAUCGGUAGCUGGUCUGAGAGGAUGAUCAGCCACACUGGGACUGAGACACGGCCCAGACUCCUACGGGAGGCAGCAGUGGGGAAUUUUGGACAAUGGGGGAAACCCUGAUCCAGCCAUGCCGCGUGAGUGAAGAAGGCC